rnacentral:lncRNA from 1 species
AUAAAUGUACCCCUUGGGCAAAACACUUCCUUACCCUGUUCAGAGUCAUGUUAAUACCUUUAAACUGUGUUGAAAAGCUAAGUUUGGGGUAAAAAACCCAAAGAGUUCCAAAUGCCCAAGAAAGUGCGAAAAUAAAAAUAGAAAAAAAAUUGAAAUAGGAAAUCAUCGAGAGAAAAGGAAAAAGAAUUAUUAUAAAUAAACUCGAAGAUUCAAAAGAAGCAUGAAA